rnacentral:tRNA from 1 species
GCCGCGGUAGCUCAGGGGUAGAGCAACGCCAUGGUAAGGCGUAGGUCCGGGGUUCAAAUCCCCGCCGCGGCU